AGACCCAGGCUCUUGGUAUGCGGUGUCUGACUGUGCCAGUUGGGGGAGUGAUGAGUGAACAGUGGCAAUAAUACACUGUAAAAAAAAGUCUGUGGACAUAACAUAAUUUAAAAACUGUAAAUAGACAAACAGCUUAAUAAUUAAUUUGAUUAGUUACAGACUAUCCAUCCAGGCAUCUUCUAACCAAUCCCAGCUAGCAUUGGGCGCAAGGCGGGGUACACCUUGAACAGGUCACCAGUCCAUCGCACACAGACGAACAACCGCUCACACACACAUUCACACCAAUUAUCCUAUCUGCAUGUCUUUGGAUGGUGGGAGGAAGCCAGAGUAACCGGAGAUAAUAGACAUGGGGAGAACGUAAUAAUUGCGGUAGCAGCCAAGCUUGGCAAAGUUCACGUUAGUGUGCAGCGCACCACCGCCCAAGCUGCCCGCGAAUGGAGCAUGGAGGAGCUGUAUGUAACGUGACAAGUGACAACGUGGAGAAUCCUCUUUUAUCAGGUAAACGCAUGCUUUUCUUUAACUUGAUGACUGUUAUUCUGAAAAAUACUCGCUUCUAUUUUUGACAAACAGCAAAGCUGACUGGUUGCUGGUUAAUCUGCUGGGUUCCAUGCUAACGUUACUAGUAAAUUUCUUUUGAGUAAGUUAAGUUAACAUUUGUUGUUUUUUUCAUGCUGUGGUUUUGCAGCGCCACGUUAAACGUUUAAAAAACAGGUGGUUUUAUUAUUUUUUUCUAAAAAUUAUUACCUGCCAUUUUUGCAGCAAAAUAGUAGCUACAUUAAGGGGUUAUGUUCUGCAUUGUAGAGUUCACAGGAAUGAACCACAUUGUCUUUUCAAAUGCGUUAGCAUUGACUGCAAGUGGACAUUUUAGGACGUUAGUCGUUACAGAUUUGAAAUGUGCUGUUCACUGUGUGAGCGCCAAUUUCACACAGUGAAGGAACUUCUCUCCCACUUAAAAGAGCAUAUAGUGGAGGGGCGACCUGUUGCAAGUCACUGGCUGUAAAAAUAUUUUCACUGUGAAGUCGUCAUUUACUGCUCAUAUGUCCAGAAAACAUAGGCAUGUUCAGUAUACAGCAUAAGUGACAUGUACAGGGAAACUACUUCUCAGUCUGAAGCUGCUGUUGCUGCAUGUGCAGAUGCUGGCCAAUGCUCAACUGAUACAACAAAUGAAAGCACUGAAUUACCAAAGAAUUUCAGUGAUAACUUUCUGACACUGUAAAAAGUCAUGGGAUAAGUAAGUAAAGCUUAAAAUCAUGAGGUUUUACAGCAUAACAAAUUUAAUUUGUUACAUAUACAUGUUUUAGCAAGUUGAUAACUUAUUUUAAGAAGUAGAUCAAAAUGAAAAUAUUGAAAAGUGUCUUAACUUAAAUAUAUAUUGAUUUUGAGUGAACACUUUUAACUUUUCUUAACAAUAGAAAAGGAUUGAGUUAGUGCUACUCGUCAUUCUACUGAGCAUCUUUCAAAGGUGAGUUCAGUACUGAACUGACGCCUUCUACAAGACAAAGGAAGAGCAGGAGAAACAGAGUUUGCAAGAAAAGUGUCUUGCAGCGUUGGAACAAAGCUACAGGAGGGCGCACUGCAUGGCCGGAGUCAUCUCCUCGGUGAGUUAUGCCUGCGUAUAAUUACAAAAGUUUUACAUAGUUCUUCGGUGAAACGGUUUGAUGUGAUUCCUCUAGGUGACAAAGGUUAUCCCUUGACUGAGUACCUUAUAACACCGCUUGCAAAUCCCCAAAACGAGCAAGAGCGCAGGUUCAACGCACACACGCACACGAACCACAGUGGAGAGAUGCAUAGGUUUGCUCAAGGGCAGGUGGCUCUGUCUUGGGUCAGCGGGGGGGACUCUGCUAUACACCCCAGAGAAGGUCUGCAACAUAAUUAUGGCAUGAAGGGUUCUUCAUAAUAUUGCGCUGGAGAACGGGGUGCCAUUUGAUGAAAUAGGCCUACAGCCAGAUGACCUUAUGCAUGGAGAUCUGUGGCCACAUCAGCCACCAUUGGGGGCUCUACGAAGGAGACAGGAUCUAAUUCUGCGCUUCUAACAUAGUACGUGCUAUCUUUGGGACUUCAGCCGUUAGUACAGAGGCGGUGGUGGACCAGAACGGGGCGAAGAAAAGCUCUCCUCUUCCGCCGGUCUGUGUGGACUGUUCUUUAAAAAGAGAAAAUAAAAGAUUCAAUGCA